UGAUCUUUGACAUUGAUGAAGACUCAUUGCUAUCUUCAGACGUGUCAGGCAAGCAAACCCCCCUUGAGCAUAUUGAAAUAAACCCACUCCCUCGCUCUUGCUCUCUUUGACUGCAUUAGGACAAACACGAUUCAACUGUACAUGUUAUCGGUAGUUGAACCCAUUCCUAUGCAUGACCUGAUUUUGUCACAGUAAAGAGUUGAAACCACUUAGCAUGAGUAGCAACUGCUUGAGCCUUGUUGUGCUUACUC
rnacentral:lncRNA from 1 species